rnacentral:rRNA from 1 species
UAGGGAAUCUUCGGCAAUGGGGGGAACCCUGACCGAGCAACGCCGCGUGAGUGAAGAAGGUUUUCGGAUCGUAAAGCUCUGUUGUUAAGGAAGAACGAGUGUGAGAAUGGAAAGUUCAUACUGUGACGGUACUUAACCAGAAAGGGACGGCUAACUACGUGCCAGCAGCCGCGGUAAUACGUAGGUCCCGAGCGUUGCCCGGAUUUAUUGGGCGUAAAGCGAGCGCAGGCGGUUAGAUAAGUCUGAAGUUAAAGGCAGUGGCUCAACCAUUGUAGGCUUUGGAAACUGUUUAACGUGAGUGCAGAAGGGGAGAGUGGAAUUCCAUGUGUAGCGGUGAAAUGCGUAGAUAUAUGGAGGAACACCGGUGGCGAAAGCGGCUCUCUGGUCUGUAACUGACGCUGAGGCUCGAAAGCGUGGGGAGCGAACAGG